rnacentral:rRNA from 1 species
CGCGUAGGCGGUUGACACAGUCAGGUGUGAAAUUCCCGGGCUUAACCUGGGGGCUGCAUUUGAGACGUGUUGACUAGAGUGUGAGAGAGGGUUGUGGAAUUCUCAGUGUAGAGGUGAAAUUCGUAGAUAUUGGGAAGAACACCGGUGGCGAAGGCGGCAACCUGGCUCAUAACUGACGCUGAGGUGCGAAAGCGUGGGGAGCAAAC